rnacentral:lncRNA from 1 species
GCGGAGUGGGCAGGGCCGGGCUGGAGGGGGCGGGGUGACUAAAGGAGCAUGGAAAUUCAAGGAACUGGGGGAUUCAAGUUGCCGGUACUGGAAGCGCCAGGAGGACCGGGCUGUAAGAAGACUGGGCUGAGUUCUGCACUUCGGGGUGGAACUAGUCGGACCCAAGAUUAAAGAGCAUAGCAGGAAAAGGGAAGACUAUUUUGCUGAUGAAAGAUUAAAGCGGGCCUGUACUGGGCGGAGCGAUGCAGCGGUGAGAGGAUCAUCAGUCUAUUGGCUGAUGAAGUUUGCUUGAGAACAGCUGCAGUAGUCUUUCCACGGUCUGAGGACGGAAGCAAUCUCGAUGUCUCCAUCUCUCUGUCUCUGGCUUCUCCUGUGUUCUCUUAGUAACCUCACAGGCACUGUGACUACAGGAUCCAACAUGAAACCACGGAAUUACUGGAUCUCAAUUGGCAUCCCAGUGGGUAUAGUCUGUGUUGUCCUCCUAGGGAUCGGAGUCCUGCUGUGUAAAGGAAAAAGGAAGAGACUUAAGCUGAAAGAAGAUGGAAGCAUCAGAUCCCAAAGCACAAUUUCUUACAAAGAUGCAGAAAUGGAAGGUCAUCCUAAACAGUGUAUUUGUGAUUUCAGUGUAUUUUCAAACAAAGUGUGUGAUGCUCUGGCAGAUGUAUGAUUUUGGAUUACUGUGUUGUAUAAGAGUUAUUAAGGGGGGCAGCUGGGUAGCUCAGUGGAUUGAGAGCCAGGCCUAGAGCUGGGAGGUCCUAGGUUAAAAUCUGGCCUCAGACACUUCCUAGCUGUGUGACCCUGGGCAAGUCACUUAACCCCUAUUGCCUAGCCCUUACCACUCUUCUGCCUUGGAACCAAUGCACAGUAUUUAGGGUUAAGCCACAUUUCUCCUGCCAAGGCUUUUCACCUACCCACCCACCCUCACAAAGCCACUUCUCCUGAUUCCUCUUGCUCCUGCUGCUAAAUUCCAUCAGCUUGCUUCUACUCUUGCUCCUGCUCCUGUUCCUGCUACUACUGUCUGAUCCUGCCUUCUGAGUUGUCCCAGCCAUCCACUCCUGACCUUCUCGACCCAGAUCGCUCACAGGCCCCAGCCCCAGCCCUGGUCCCACUGGUAAAAACUGAGGUGCUCUUUCCAUAGACAACAAUUAGCCUUCAUGUGGCAGGGGACCAUAGGGGGAGAAGGGGAGAAGGAAGUCACUCUUCCAAAUGGCAUAUUCUAUGAAAGAGCAGGACCUUGCCUAUUUCAAACAGCUUCCAAUGGAAUACUAUUGUGCUCAAAGGAAUAAUAAAGUGGAGGAAUUCCAUGGGGACUGGAACA